rnacentral:rRNA from 1 species
GACGAACGCUGGCGGCGUGCUUAACACAUGCAAGUCGAACGGAAAGGCCCUGCUUUUGUGGGGUGCUCGAUUGGCGAACGGGUGAGUAACACGUGAGUAACCUGCCCUUGACUUUGGGAUAACUUCAGGAAACUGGGGCGAAUACCGGAUAGGAGCUCCUGCUGCAUGGGGGGGGUUGGAGAGUUUCGGCGGUUGGGGAUGGACUCGCGGCUUAUCGGCUUGUUUGUGGGGUAGUGGCUUACCAAGGCUUUGACGGGUAGCCGGCCUGAGAGGGUGACCGGCGACAUUGGGCCUGCGAUACGGCGCAGACUCCUACGGGAGGCAGCAGUGGGGAGUAUUGCGCAGUGGGCCGACGCCUGAUGCAGCAACCCCGCGUGCGUGAUGACGGCCUUCGGGUUGUAAACCGCUUUCGCCUGUGACGAAGCGUGAGUGACGGUAAUGGGUAAAGAAGCACCGGCUAACUACGUG